UAAGGAAUAUUGGGCAAUGGACGCAAGUCUGACCCAGCCAUGCCGCGUGAAGGAAGACGGCCCUAUGGGUUGUAAACUGCUUUUGUAUGGGAGCAAUAAGGUCUAUGCGUAGACUGAUGAGAGUACCAUACGAAUAAGCAUCGGCUAACUCCGUGCCAGCAGCCGCGGUAAUACGGGGGAUGCAAGCGUUAUCCGGAUUUAUUGGGUUUAAAGGGUGCGUAGGCGGUUUGAUAAGUCAGCGGUGAAAUAUUUCAGCUUAACUGAAAGGGUGCCGUUGAUACUGUCAGGCUUGAAUAUGGUUGCUGUGGGUGGAAUGUGUGGUGUAGCGGUGAAAUGCUUAGAUAUCACACAGAAUAUCGAUUGCGAAGGCAGCUCACAAAGCCAUUAUUGACGCUGAUGCACGAAAGUGUGGGGAUCAAACA
rnacentral:rRNA from 1 species